rnacentral:rRNA from 1 species
CGUAGGGUGCGAGCGUUAAUCGGAAUUACUGGGCGUAAAGCGUGCGCAGGCGGUUUAGUAAGACAGGCGUGAAAUCCCCGGGCUCAACCUGGGAACUGCGCUUGUGACUGCUAAGCUAGAGUACGGCAGAGGGGGGUGGAAUUCCACGUGUAGCAGUGAAAUGCGUAGAGAUGUGGAGGAACACCAAUGGCGAAGGCAGCCCCCUGGGUCGAUACUGACGCUCAUGCACGAAAGCGUGGGUAGCAAACAGGAUUAGAUACCCUGGUAGUCCACGCCCUAAACGAUGUCAACUAGGUGUUGGGAGGGUAAAACCUUUUAGUACCGGAGCUAACGCGUGAAGUUGUCCGCCUGGGGAGUACGGCCGCAAGGUUA